UACGUAGGGGGCAAGCGUUGUCCGGAAUCAUUGGGCGUAAAGAGCGUGUAGGCGGCUAGGUAGGUCCGUUGUGAAAACUCGAGGCUCAACCUCGAGACGUCGAUGGAAACCAUCUAGCUAGAGUCCGGAAGAGGAGAGUGGAAUUCCUGGUGUAGCGGUGAAAUGCGCAGAUAUCAGGAAGAACACCCGUGGCGAAGGCGGCUCUCUGGUACGUGAUUGACGCUGAGACGCGAAAGCGUGGGGAGCGAACAGG
rnacentral:rRNA from 1 species